AAACUGAAGGGGCGCUAGAGAGCCCGGUGCUGAAACCAUCUUCCACUCGUCCCCUUUGCAUAUACAUACCAAAUUGUAGGCGCUUCAGAUAUCGAGUCUGGUGAAGAAUCGGGUUGAUAUGAGUUGCUUGAGAGUGGCGGGCACUAAUGGUAGAGGGUACCUAUAUUUGACAGUGCACUGGUUCAUCCCUCUAUGGUCAAUACAUUGCUGAAGACCAUCCACUUUUUUGCCACAAAAAAAGAAGCCGGCUGACUAGAGAUGUAACAGUAUGAAAAUUUCAUAUCACAAUUAUCGUAACCAAACUAUCAUGGUUAUCAGUAUUAACACUGUAUUGUUAAAAUGUGCUGAAAAUGUACAAAAAGUACUAAAGAUGCAAAGAUGUAUCGGCCGAUAAAGGCUAUUUUUCCCGCUAUCGUCUGUCGGCCGAUAGUCUAAAAACAUCCAAUAAUCAGGGCCGAUUAUAACCUGCCAAUCAAAAGAGGGCGGGAAAACACAUUGAUUUCAUGCUCUGUGUAAAGAUGAUGUCUCUUGUGUGGAAGGAUGACAAAACCACAGUUUAUAAGCUCUGCACUGCCAAAAUUUUACACCAGAAGUGAGCAGCAGUUAAGCAGAAGUUUUAAAAAAAAAAAGUUGAUAUUAUAUAUUACCAGUUUGAUGUUCAAUGAUGAAGUAGAAAUGCUUUUGUUUGUGGUGAGUGAAUGUGCGCCAUAUAGAAGGUUUUUUUUAAGAGAAUUCAGUCAAUGUUAAUAUGAAUGAAUAAGAUUCAAUAAGUUAAGAAAUCUUACUUUAAUCUUCAGAAACUAGUUAAAUGUGUUAAUGUUAACUUGAGUAAUGUGUUUUCUGUUUAUGAGACCAGUUACUGUGAAACAGCUUGUUGAAAUGGAGAGAAUAAAGUUUUUAUUUGUAUUUCUUUCAUAAUUAUUUUAAAUGAAUUAUUAAUUUAUAAGAAGGCAUAAAAGGCAGAACAAUCGGUAUUGGCCGAUAUCACUCUGAAUAAUUGGUUAUCGGUAUUGGCUGAGAAAUUUAGUAUCGGUGCAUUUCUAAAAAGUACUGAUACACACACUGAAAUCAUUUAAACAGGUUUUAUAUUUGACUAUAAAGUGAUGGAUGGUUGUCACUAAGCUUGACGUGAUAGUCGGUGUAUGGUGUUCGGCCACACAACAAUUACAUUUUGCCCACUACAGCACUGAAACCCCACUGUCAUUUGGCUUAUUUAUAGCAAUAAAAAUAAUUUAGUUCAAUUAGAGAACAGUCACUACAAUUAAAAACUGAACAUGGCUGCUCAAUUCAGCAUGAGCCGAAUGAGUCAGAGUUGCAGCACAGAUCAGAAGGAGUCGGAUUUCAUUUAACAUGCGAGAAGAGUGAGGUGAGCUGACUGACAGGAAGAGUGAGAUGAGUUGACUGACAGGAGGAGUGAGGCGAGUUGACUGACAGGACAAUGACAUAAGAUUUGGUUUAAUAUAAGCGAGUUUGUCAUUGUACUGUUUUGUUGUUGUUUCUUAAUGUUUUUCAUUAAGAAUAAUAAUGAACAAGGGACAUGUAGAGAGUUCCUCUGGGGCAGGGCUCAAAUGUAAAAAGAAAAAAAAUAGGGGCUAUAUCACCAAAGAGCUCAUUUUACUACUUUUAACUAUGUUACUACUUUACUAACUUUAAUUUAACUACAUAUUGUUAUCACCCUGGUUGACAUUGUAAAGAGACUGUGUGUGGUCACAAUAAUGAAUAUGAGAAUGACACUACUAAUAUAAACUAAUGAUAUUUUGUUUUUACAUUUAUAGAAAUAAUUACAACAAAACUGCAAUUUUUAGUGGAGAGAUGAAUACAAAGAAUCAGUAAAAGAAAAUUUAAACAUUCUGAAAUGUAUUACCAUCCACAAAUGUAGUGACACACCCACAGUGUCAGUUUUUCUUUAAUUUUCAGCCAUCUCUGUCUGUUUAUCAUCUCUGUGCCUUUACUGACUAUAUAACAUAACAAGGUUACCUGCAUGUCUGGAAAUUUAAAGAACUUGAGUAGCUAGUACUUACCACCACAUUUCAUCUCAAUCAGUUUGAAAACUACUGGUGAUAAGCAUAUAAAAUGCUGCUAAUAUGAAAAGGUUAGCAGAAGAGCUAGUGGUUGUCACGUAAUGGAGGCUGAGACAGAAGCAAGUGCAGGUUAAUUAGUUUAAUCCAAUACAACAAUCCGAAGGAACAGGCAGAAAACAAUAAACGGAAACGGGCAAGGGUCAAUCGAUCAGGCAAACAGUCCAAACUAGGCAUGGCAAAGAGACAAGGUCGUAAACGAGAACAAGGUCAAAACCAGAAUAAACAAACACGGUAUCAAGGCUUGGUAACGACAGAGACAGAAGGCAAUUGAGCAUAUACUUCACAAAGACUUUGUGUUCGAACAGUCUCUUUUAUUUGUGGUGUGAUUGUGUGUGAGACUGGAUGCAGGUGUGUGUGAUUAUAAUGAAGGUGAGUGUUCUGGGAAUUGCGGUCCAUGGCGGCCAUGAUUGUAGGCCCCAGUUCAGGGUGGGAAAUGUAGUCAUUGGUUUGCUGUGAUGUGACAGGUUUCAGCAUACCUGUCUGCCUGUUGAAGCAAGACGCAUCGCGAUUGAGUCAUGACAAGACUCGAGUCGGACAAAUAAAUAGGAAAAUUCUCAGACUUUCUUGUGAUUAAUUUGUUACUGUUUUGUGCACAAUCUCAUGUUAAUUUGAAUUCAAAUGCUUUUUACAUAAUAUAAUUUUUUAAUUAAUGUUCCGAGGGGCACUUUUAAAUAAUUUAGAAAAAGGCAGGAGCUUGAGCCCCCAGAGCCCCCCCUUCGGCACGUCCCUUUAAUGAACCCACCAUUUAAGCAAUUUGCCCCGAGCUGGCACUAAUUCAAAAGCGAAAGUGAAAUGUGCACGGCUGCACGGGUAUUCAUAAGCGAUUUAAAAGCGAGGGGGGGGGGGGUGGAGGAAAAAGCAACAACGAAGCACCAAAGCCCCCUUUCGCAGCAACUUUCUUCUGUCAAGCUCUGCAGACAGGGUUACCAUCUUCUAUUAAGUUUCCAUUAACAUUUGUAUAAAAUCCAAAAUAUGACCACACUUCAGAUUUGAAUCAGACUCAUGCUGGGUGUGUGUGGACAGCAUUUACCGCAAGUUUUGUAAAUCACGAUAAUCGAGCACAGUUUUAAUGAUAAUUAAAUAUGACAAAGUAAUACUAACCAUUGAGGAAUUUUAUCGUGGUUUAGUGUGAAAGCGGUAACCGUUUCAUCCCUUUGGCUGAUGCAGGAGAUGUGGAGGGUCUAAUGUAGCCCUGUUGCAGCGCCCCUGAAUAUACUCAUCCAUAGCUUGUUUUCUGCCAUGGAAAGAGGGUAGGUCCAGCUAUGUGGUGGCAUAGUGCCCGGUAAUAACUGUAUGGCACAGCCAUAGGUAUGAUGUGGACAUAAUGCACUGGCUUUGAUCUUGCUAAAUACGUCCUUUAAAUCCUGAUAUUGCUGUGGAACUGUGAACACCCCAUGGUUGUCUUGGCCUUCAAAGGAAGUAAAACCAAUGAUGACCUUGGGUUUUUGCAGACAGUGAGAGAAACAGUUAGGGGACCAGCAGGUGAGUUGUUUAUCCUGCCACGACAACUGUGGAUUAUGCAGCUCCAACCAUGCUAUACCCAAGAUGAUGGGAUGCGUGGGUAAUGUAGUGACCAGCAGUUGAAUGUGCUCAUGUUUCAUAGUUCCAACUUGGGAUUGUGUGCGCUGGGUUAUGGUGCCCUGUCCUAUGGGUUUUUUGUCGAUGGCUUGGAUCUUUGAGGGUGGUGACUGUGGGCUGUCAGUAGGUUGAGGCGCUUAAUGACGUCCUCAUUGAUAAAAUUAACCACGGCACCAGAAUCAAUCAGUGCUGUGAACACAAAAGGCUCUCCUAAGUGCUGUAUAAUAACAUGUAAAGUGAAUACUGAAGAAAAACAACAGACUUUGGGACUCACUGUGUGCGGUGGCAUUUGUGGUGUAUUGGGCAUGUAGAGGACACUGCACAAUUGUUCAGUUGUUUUUGUUUGAUAUGUUCAUUGCAAAUAGCUGAAAUUCUGUAAAUUUUGUCAGUAAACCUGAUUUGCAAUGGGUAUUGAACAGUUUUGAUUGCAACGGUAUGAGCUUAGCUAUUAAGCUAGAACCUUUUCCAGGAGCUUGGACAUAAAGAGGAGGUUUUGAUAUUGGGCUAUAAUUUGACAGUUGAUCUGGAUCAGGUUUUUUUUUUAUAUAUAUUAAUUUAUUUAUUUUUAUAACUGCUAGAUUUCAAAGAUUUAGGUACAUAACCAAUGCAAAGAGUUGAGUUUCUUAUUUCUAACAAUGGCUCAAUUGCUUCUGGUACACUAAAAAAAAUUAACUUUGUGGUAGAGUAAAAUGUAUUAAAUUAACUGUCAUAAUUUCUACAUUGUAAUAUUAAGAUUCAUUGAAAACUAGAAUUUCUUAAGUAAAAAUUUAAAUAUAUACAUAUUUUAUUAAUGUAAUAAAUGAACUGCGUGGGAAGAGUAACUUUUAUUAUAUAUUUACUCAUACUAUUUAAAUGUUUUAUAGUCAUUGCACAUAAACCUAUAAAUACUAAGUAAACUCUAAUCGAAAAGUAUAGUGUGUUUGAAUCAUGUGCCUUUGGACAAGACAAGCUUCCUGCUUAACUUUGAAUCAGAGACGGUUGGGGCUGUCACGGAUCUGCUGCAUGGCUGAAUUAUCUUGUGUGUAAGGACGCAAGACAGUACAGCAGUGAGUUUUGCUAUCACAUUUCAGGCCCAGGAUGCUCAGCAUGAUGAGCCUGUGGAGUGUAAAUUGAGGGCUAUGUAGUGUGGUUGGUCUAAUGCUCUCAUUCAGGCAAGUAGAAAUCUAUGCAUAGAAUUACACGAUAUAAUAUUGCUGUUGUUAUUUUUCCUUAUUCCUCACUGCAUAAUGUAAUAUAAAAUUGUGGUGAAAUGUUUUAGAUCAUUGUUUUAAUAUCACAAAUUGUGUCUGUUCAUUUACAGGGUGACCUUACUCUUAAGACGAGCCAAUACAGUGGACAGUUGAGGUCUAGGGAGCUAGGGGGACAGAUUGGCGUGUUUUAACACUGGUAUCAUCAAGGAGAAACAGUAGGCCUCCUAUGUUAUGAGAUGGCCGUGCUACUUCAGGACAUCAAAAGCUAUUAAAGCUCUUUAAUUGUUCAAUAGAACAACAAAUGACCAUUCUACAGUCCCCUCUGAAACUAUUGGCCAAUUCAUUUGUUUGUGCUAUACACCAUAGACAUUUGGGUUUGAGAUCAGAAGAUGGAUAUAGAUGGAUACAACAUAAAACAUAAAUAAAGUCCUUGUUGACUUGGCAGUAUGUUUUAGAGCAUUGCCUUGUUACAUGAUAAAGUUCCUCUUGAUUAAUUGCGAUGUAUUUCUCUGUAAAUUGGCAGACAGAAUGUUCCUGUAAACUUCUGAAUUCAUUCUGCUGCUACCAUCAUGAGAUACAUCAUCAAUAAAGAUUAGUGACCCUGUUCCAGAAGCAGCCGUGCAAGCCCAAGCUAUGACACUAUCUCAAUCAUGUUUCACAGAUGAGCUUGUAUGUUUGGGAUCAUGAGCAGAUCCUUUAAUUCUCCACACUUUGACCUUUCCAUCACUUUGUUAGAGGUUAAUCUUGGUUCGAGAAAUUUGGUGGCUCAUCUUUGUAUUUCCUUGCAAAUUACAAUCUGGCUUUCUGUUUCUUACUGCUCAUGAGUGUCUUGCAUCUUGUGGUAUGGCCUCAAUAUUUCUACUCUUGAAGUCUUCUUCGAACGGUGGAUUGUGAUACCUUCACCCAUGACUUGUGGAGGUUGUUGGUGAUGUCACUGACUGUUGUUUUUGGGUUUUUCUUCACAGCUCUCACAAUGUUUCUGUCAUCAGCUGUUGUUGUUUUCCUUUGCCAACCCAUUCAAUGUCUGUCACUCUUCUUCCUGAGACUUCUGGCUUCUUCCUUUUACAGGACAUUACAUGUGUAUUGUUUGUAUUGUUGUAUUGACUAUGCCCAACAUUUGUGCAAUGACUCUUUUCUCAACUUCAAAAUGGUUUGCUUUUCUCCCAUAGACAGCUCUCUGACAGCUCUCUGAUAUUAGCUUAUCUUUUUUAACAACAAAUGCAGUCUUCACAAGUGAAACUGAAGGCUAAAACCAAGAGUAGAUGUUCAGAGCUACUUCUUGUUUAAACAAACAAUCUAAAAGGAUACACCUGGGUAACAAGAAACACAGGUCAUUCACAUGCCCCAAUAUUUUUGCUCGACUACAAAUUGGAGAGUCUGAUACAAAAUGUGCUAUGUAACACAUCUAUAUAUAUAUAUAUAUAUAUUUAUACCAUUAAAAAAUAAAAGCUGAAAUUCUAAACACUCUUCCCAUAUUAAUCUCAUGAUCUCAAACCCAAAUGUCUUCAGUCUACACAAAUACAAAUGAAUAUGACUGUAUAUCAAUGGGGAUAUGCAUGUUUUGUUGUUGCAAGUCAUGCCACUGUUACAUUUAUGAUUUUACUUGUUUAAAAUAAGGGCUCCAGUCCCCGGUGUAACGAUACCUGCUAGAGACAAGUGCGGACGGGCAGGGUGGCGUGUGCAGACGCGAUGUAAGAGGAAUAGCAGAAAACAGACUAAUGCAGGUGAACAGUCCAACUGGGAUAAGGCAAGGAAUCGUAAACGUGAAUAACAGGCAGGAAAGUCCAAGUACCAGGGAAAUCUAGAUUAAAGCUAAGGCUUGGUAAUAUCACUAAGUCACGAGAACUGAGCGUUUACUUCGCGAGGGCGCAAAGGUUAAUAAGGCCUUUUAUAACUUAUCAGCCGCACAGGUGUUGGUGAUCAAUACUCAGGUGAACUUGAGCGCGGGCAUGGCUGGGAAGUGUAGUCCCUGUCCGCCAUGUUUGUAAACGGCGCCGCCAUCUGAAUAUUGCGGCCACGAGUUCACCACGGUGUAACAUCCGAGGACAUUUUUACUGAAUGCGCCUUUAAAAACUUGUUUCAGGACUUUACAAGGUCAUGUGAACAUGACUAUUUUAUUGUUGUUUAAUGUUGACAAAAUAAACUAUUUAAUUGUAUUGUA